rnacentral:lncRNA from 1 species
AUGUUGAUGACCUGGACUUUUUUAUACUGAAGAUUAAGAAACAGAAAAAUCCAAAUAUGCCACACAGUGGCUAAUCCACCAUGGUAUAUUCAAUGAUUGGAAUAUAAUGGAGAGGUUUAUGGAACAGAUAAUCUUUAAAUACCUAAGACCAGAACUUGAAGUCCAUUGAUUUCUUGUAACCUCUGCUGAACACUCCACAAAACGGAGAAUACACGACUGAAUUAACAUUUGAGCUUUUCCAUUUUGUAGGCUUCUAACUGGCUGUACAGACCAGCUUUGCUUUACCUGCAUCUUGGA